GACGAACGCUGGCGGCGUGCCUAAUACAUGCAAGUCGAACGCUUCUUUCCUCCCGAGUGCUUGCACUCAAUUGGAAAGAGGAGUGGCGGACGGGUGAGUAACACGUGGGUAACCUACCCAUCAGAGGGGGAUAACACUUGGAAACAGGUGCUAAUACCGCAUAACAGUUUAUGCCGCAUGGCAUAAGAGUGAAAGGCGCUUUCGGGUGUCGCUGAUGGAUGGACCCGCGGUGCAUUAGCUAGUUGGUGAGGUAACGGCUCACCAAGGCCACGAUGCAUAGCCGACCUGAGAGGGUGAUCGGCCACACUGGGACUGAGACACGGCCCAGACUCCUACGGGAGGCAGCAGUAGGGAAUCUUCGGCAAUGGACGAAAGUCUGACCGAGCAACGCCGCGUGAGUGAAGAAGGUUUUCGGAUCGUAAAACUCUGUUGUUAGAGAAGAACAAGGACGUUAGUAACUGAACGUCCCCUGACGGUAUCUAACCAGAAAGCCACGGCUAACUACGUGCCAGCAGCCGCGGUAAUACGUAGGUGGCAAGCGUUGUCCGGAUUUAUUGGGCGUAAAGCGAGCGCAGGCGGUUUCUUAAGUCUGAUGUGAAAGCCCCCGGCUCAACCGGGGAGGGUCAUUGGAAACUGGGAGACUUGAGUGCAGAAGAGGAGAGUGGAAUUCCAUGUGUAGCGGUGAAAUGCGUAGAUAUAUGGAGGAACACCAGUGGCGAAGGCGGCUCUCUGGUCUGUAACUGACGCUGAGGCUCGAAAGCGUGGGGAGCAAACAGGAUUAGAUACCCUGGUAGUCCACGCCGUAAACGAUGAGUGCUAAGUGUUGGAGGGUUUCCGCCCUUCAGUGCUGCAGCAAACGCAUUAAGCACUCCGCCUGGGGAGUACGACCGCAAGGUUGAAACUCAAAGGAAUUGACGGGGGCCCGCACAAGCGGUGGAGCAUGUGGUUUAAUUCGAAGCAACGCGAAGAACCUUACCAGGUCUUGACAUCCUUUGACCACUCUAGAGAUAGAGCUUUCCCUUCGGGGACAAAGUGACAGGUGGUGCAUGGUUGUCGUCAGCUCGUGUCGUGAGAUGUUGGGUUAAGUCCCGCAACGAGCGCAACCCUUAUUGUUAGUUGCCAUCAUUUAGUUGGGCACUCUAGCGAGACUGCCGGUGACAAACCGGAGGAAGGUGGGGAUGACGUCAAAUCAUCAUGCCCCUUAUGACCUGGGCUACACACGUGCUACAAUGGGAAGUACAACGAGUCGCUAGACCGCGAGGUCAUGCAAAUCUCUUAAAGCUUCUCUCAGUUCGGAUUGCAGGCUGCAACUCGCCUGCAUGAAGCCGGAAUCGCUAGUAAUCGCGGAUCAGCACGCCGCGGUGAAUACGUUCCCGGGCCUUGUACACACCGCCCGUCACACCACGAGAGUUUGUAACACCCGAAGUCGGUGAGGUAACCUUUUUGGAGCCAGCCGCCUAAGGUGGGAUAGAUGAUUGGGGUGAAGUCGUAACAAGGUAGCCGUAUCGGAAGGUGCGGCUGGAUCACCUCCUUUCUAAGGAAUAUUACGGAAAUACACAUUUCGUCUUUGCUUUGUUCAGUUUUGAGAGGUCUACUCUCAAAACAUUCGUUCAUUGAAAACUGGAUAUUGAAGUAAAAAGAAUCAAAACAAACCGAGAACACCGCGUUGAAUGAGUUUUUUAAUAAGUUCAAUUGCUUAUUUAUUGAUUAACCUUCUAUCGCUAGAAGAAGUGAUCAAGACCCAACCGUAAGGUUGAUAAGGUUAAGUGAAUAAGGGCGCACGGUGGAUGCCUUGGCACUAGGAGCCGAUGAAGGACGGGACUAACACCGAUAUGCUUUGGGGAGCUGUAAGUAAGCUAUGAUCCAGAGAUUUCCGAAUGGGGGAACCCAAUAUCUUUUAUAGGAUAUUACUUUUCAGUGAAUACAUAGCUGAUUAGAGGUAGACGCAGAGAACUGAAACAUCUUAGUACCUGCAGGAAGAGAAAGAAAAUUCGAUUCCCUGAGUAGCGGCGAGCGAAACGGGAAGAGCCCAAACCAACAAGCUUGCUUGUUGGGGUUGUAGGACUCCAAUAUGGUAGUCUGUUAGUAUAGUUGAAGGAUUUGGAAAAUUCCGCUAAAGAGGGUGAAAGCCCCGUAGACGAAAUGCUGACAACACCUAGGAGGAUCCUGAGUACGGCGGAACACGAGAAAUUCCGUCGGAAUCCGCGGGGACCAUCCCGCAAGGCUAAAUACUCCCUAGUGACCGAUAGUGAACC
rnacentral:rRNA from 1 species